UGGAAGAAGCUGAUGUUAGGAUGGUAUAGU
rnacentral:piRNA from 1 species